rnacentral:rRNA from 1 species
GACGAACGCUGGCGGCGUGCCUAAUACAUGCAAGUCGAGCGAAGUCUUUCUGGUGCUUGCACCGGAAAAACUUAGCGGCGCACGGGUGAGUAACACGUAAAGAACCUGCCUCAUAGACUGGGACAACUAUUGGAAACGAUAGCUAAUACCGGAUAACAGCAUUAACUGCAUGGUUGAUGUUUAAAAGUUGGUUUUGCUAACACUAUGAGAUGGCUUUGCGGUGCAUUAGCUAGUUGGUGGGGUAAAGGCCUACCAAGGCGACGAUGCAUAGCCGACCUGAGAGGGUGAUCGGCCACACUGGGACGGAGACACGGCCCAGACUCCUACGGGAGGCAGCAGUAGGGAAUCUUCCGCAAUGGGCGAAAGCCUGACGGAGCAACGCCGCGUGAGUGAAGAAGGAUUUCGGUUCGUAAAGCUCUGUUGUUAGGGAAGAAUGAUUGCGUAGUAACUAUACACAGUAGAGACGGUACCUAAUCAGAAAGCCACGGCUAACUACGUG